GCGUUCCAUCCACUUUAUGAUGUCAAUACCUCGCACCGUGUCCUCGAAUAUAUCAAUCUGUAAGAGAAUGAAAGUCUGUGAGCGUGCGCUGGGAAGUCAGGCAGGUCACUGACACUGGAUGCAGCAAUCCAGACUUCGGACUGAGCAGAGAGAUGGAGGACUUGCCAGUGCUGAAUGCAGCCAUCACCACUCACUCCCUGCACACUCAGUGAGCCCCAGAGUUGGCAAUCAAGGACUGUGACCAAUGGAGUAAUUAUUAACUUCUCCAAGCUUUUGAAAGAAGAAAACUACUCCACUCUCAAGUCUUUCUUUCUUUUUUCUUUUUAAAAGUAGAGAACACAUUUGUUUCCCUGUUUGGGGGGUAUUUUGCUGUAUUUAUUUUUUUCUUUAGCAUGCACCAAGAAUUGCCUGUCCAGCAAAAGUGCUAUUAAUGAGCAUUCUACUCUGUACCUCCAUGACGCCCUGAGCUUUCUUAUGAAUUGGUCAUAGUACAGAACUGCUGGGGAGAAAUAUAAUUUCAGUCUCUGGAAAAAGUCUUUGAUUCAUGAAGAUAAAUAAGCAUGGACAAAA